AACUAUAACGGUCCUAAGGUAGCGAAAUUCCUUGUCGGGUAAGUUCCGACCCGCAUGAAAGGCGUAAUGAUUUGGGCGCUGUCUCAACGAGGGGCCCGGUGAAAUUGAAAUACCUGUGAAGAUGCAGGUUACCCGCGACUGGACAGAAAGACCCCAUGGAGCUUUACUGCAGCUUGAGAUUGAAUCCCGGUGGCAGACGCACAGGAUAGGUGGGAGGCUUUGAGAUAGUGACUUUGGUUGCUAUGGAGCCGACGUUGGGAUACCACCCUUCUGUUGCUGGGAUUCUAACGCGAAGAUUAACAACCUUGCGGACCAUCUCAGGUAGGCGGUUUGACUGGGGCGGUCGCCUCCGAAAGAGUAACGGAGGCGCCCAAAGGUUCCCUCAGGCCGGACAGAAACCGGCCGAAGAGUGCAAAGGCAGAAGGGAGCUUGACUGCGAGACAGACAAGUCGAGCAGAGACGAAAGUCGGGCUUAGUGAUCCGGUGGUACUGCGUGGAAAGGCCAUCGCUCAACGGAUAAAAGCUACCCUGGGGAUAACAGGCUAAUCUCUCCCAAGAGUUCAUAUCGACGGGGAGGUUUGGCACCUCGAUGUCGGCUCAUCACAUCCUGGGGCUGUAGUAGGUCCCAAGGGUUGGGCUGUUCGCCCAUUAAAGUGGUACGCGAGCUGGGUUCAAAACGUCGUGAGACAGUUUGGUUCAUAUCCAUCGCGGGCGCAAGAAGUUUGAAGGAGGCUGCUCCUAGUACGAGAGGACCGGAGUGGACGGAUCAACGGUGUACCAGUUGUCACGCCAGUGGCACGGCUGGAAAGCCGCAUCCGGAAAGGAUAAACGCUGAAAGCAUCUAAGCGUGAAGCCCGUCCCAAGAUGAGACUUCUCAUCAGCAAUGAGUAAGACCCCUUAAAGACGAUGAGGUUGAUAGGCUGUGAGUGGAAGAGCCGCGAGGCUUGGAGCGACGCAGUACUAAUAGGUCGAGGUCUUAACUUA
rnacentral:rRNA from 1 species